rnacentral:rRNA from 1 species
CGUGUAGGCGGUCCGGUAAGUCGGCUGUGAAAGUCCAGGGCUCAACCCUGGGAUGCCGGUCGAUACUGCCGGACUAGAGUUCGGAAGAGGCGAGUGGAAUUCCCGGUGUAGCGGUGAAAUGCGCAGAUAUCGGGAGGAGCACCUAUGGCGAAGGCAGCUCGCUGGGACGUUACUGACGCUGAGACGCGAAAGCGUGGGGAGCAAACA